rnacentral:rRNA from 1 species
GAUGAACGCUGGCGGCGUGCCUAAUACAUGCAAGUCGAGCGAACAGACGAGGAGCUUGCUCCUCUGACGUUAGCGGCGGACGGGUGAGUAACACGUGGAUAACCUACCUAUAAGACUGGGAUAACUUCGGGAAACCGGAGCUAAUACCGGAUAACAUGUUGAACCGCAUGGUUCAACAGUGAAAGACGGUCUUGCUGUCACUUAUAGAUGGAUCCGCGCCGCAUUAGCUAGUUGGUAAGGUAACGGCUUACCAAGGCAACGAUGCGUAGCCGACCUGAGAGGGUGAUCGGCCACACUGGAACUGAGACACGGUCCAGACUCCUACGGGAGGCAGCAGUAGGGAAUCUUCCGCAAUGGGCGAAAGCCUGACGGAGCCACGCCGCGUGAGUGAUGAAGGUCUUCGGAUCGUAAAACUCUGUUAUUAGGGAAGAACAAAUGUGUAAGUAACUCUGCACGUCUUGACGGUACCUAAUCAGAAAGCCACGGCUAACUACGUG